rnacentral:rRNA from 1 species
CCUGCUCAAUGAUAAAAUUAAAUAGCCGCGAUUUUAUCGUGCUAAGGUAGCAUAAUAAUUUGUCUUCUAAUUAAAGAAUAGAAUGAAAGGAUUAACGUAUUAAUAACUUUAUUAUUAUUUCAAUACAAAAUUUAAUUAAUAGUAAAAAUGCUAUUAUAAAAAAAAUAGACAAUAAGACCCUUACGAACUUUAUUAUUAAAUUUUACUGGGGCGGUAAAAAAAUAAAAACUUAACUUUAUAAAUUAAAAACUCCUAUUUAAAAUAUUCUAGUUACCGAAGGGAUAACAGCAUAAUUUUAUUUUUAAGAUCUAAUAAAAAAUAAAGAUUAUGACCUCGAUGUUGAAUUAAAAUUACUAAUAUAUGAAAAAGUAUAAAAAGUAAGUCUGUUCGACUUUUAAAAUUUUACAU